UACGGGAGGCAGCAGUGGGGAAUAUUGCACAAUGGGCGCAAGCCUGAUGCAGCCAUGCCGCGUGUAUGAAAAAGGCCUUCGGGUUGUAAAGUACUUUCAGUCGUGAGGAAGGUGUUAAGGUUAAUAACCUUAGCAAUUGACGUUAGCGACAGAAGAAGCACCGGCUAACUCCGUGCCAGCAGCCGCGGUAAUACGGAGGGUGUGAGCGUUAAUCGGAAUUACUGGGCGUAAAGGGCACGCAGGCGGUUAAUUAAGUUGGAUGUGAAAUCCCCGGGCUUAACCUGGGAAUGGCAUUCAAGACUGGUUAGCUAGAGUCUUGUAGAGGGGGUAGAAUUCCAUGUGUAGCGGUGAAAUGCGUAGAGAUGUGGAGGAAUACCGGUGGCGAAGGCGGCCCCUGGACAAAGACUGACGCUCAUGUGCGAAAGCGUGGGGAGCAAACGAGGGAUUAGAUACC
rnacentral:rRNA from 1 species